rnacentral:rRNA from 1 species
CACGUAGGCGGCAUGGCAAGUCGCAGGUGAAAGCCCUCGGCUCAACCGAGGAACUGCCUGCGAAACUACUUUGCUUGAGUCCGGGAGGGGGGAGCGGAAUUCCCAGUGUAGCGGUGAAAUGCGUAGAUACUGGGAGGAACACCGGUGGCGAAGGCGGCUCCCUGGACCGGAACUGACGCUGAGGUGCGAAAGCGUGGGUAGCAAACA